UUCGUUUUGAUCAACAUUGGUAUAUAGAAAGAUAGAUUUUUUAAUCGAAAUUUUAAAUUUUGAUAAAGAGAGCAUUUAUUCAAUAAAAUAUUUAAAACAUUGAGAAUCAGUUAUAGACAAUUAUAGCAUGUGAUAUGUGUAUUAAUAUGAAAAAAAAUGAAAUGCAAAGAAGAAAUUCAGCGUCUUUUUUUUUUCUCUUGCUUUCGUGGUCUAUGAGGUCUCCUUGGGGUUACUUGAGGACUAUUUUCUGAACACUCUACGUCGCUUGGAUCAUCCUGUUAUUAAUUCAUAACUUGAGAAUAUCUAUAAGUCAAUUAAAUUAAUCAUAAGACAUAUAUGCAAUACCUUUAAAGCAGCUAUACCAUCGGAAGGGCCCCUUUGAAAAACCACUAGUAUUGCCAAUAGACAUAUAAUUUGGUAUAAUGCACUAAUAUAUAAUCCAAACCUUAAAAAUUGUUCAAAUAAAGUCUCUUCUGCUGGGAA